GAGCGGUAACAGGUGUAGCAAUACAUGCUGACGAGCGGCGAACGGGUGAGUAAUGCUUCGGAAUCUGCCCAAUGGUGGGGAAUAACCAGCCGAAAGGUUGGCUAAUACCGCAUGAGCCCUACGGGGGAAAGCAGGGGAUCGCAAGACCUUGCGCCGAUGGAUGAGCCGAAGCCGGAUUAGCUAGUUGGUAGGGUAACGGCCUACCAAGGCGACGAUCCGUAGCUGGUCUGAGAGGACGACCAGCCACACUGGGACUGAGACACGGCCCAGACUCCUACGGGAGGCAGCAGUGGGGAAUAUUGGACAAUGGGGGAAACCCUGAUCCAGCGACGCCGCGUGUGUGAAGAAGGCCUGCGGGUUGUAAAGCACUUUUAGUGGGGAUGAAAAGCUCANGGGCUAACACCUCUGGGUCUUGACCUAACCCACAGAAAAAGCACCGGCUAACUCUGUG
rnacentral:rRNA from 1 species